rnacentral:misc_RNA from 1 species
UCUCCGUUGGUGAACCAGCGGAGGGAUCAUUACCGAGUUUACAACUCCCAAACCCAAUGUGAACGUUACCAAACUGUUGCCUCGGCGGGGUCACGCCCUGGGUGCGUCGCAGCCCCGGAACCAGGCGCCCGCCGGAGGAACCAACCAAACUCUUUCUGUAGUCCCCUCGCGGACGUUAUUACUUACAGCUCUGAGCAAAAAUUCAAAAUGAAUCAAAACUUUCAACAACGGAUCUCUUGGUUCUG